rnacentral:rRNA from 1 species
AGAGUUUGAUCCUGGCUCAGAACGAACGUUGGCGGCGUGCUUAACACAUGCAAGUCGAACGAGAACGUCCCGGCUUGCCGGGAUUAGUAAAGUGGCGCACGGGUGAGUAACACGUGAGUAAUUUCCCUCUAAGCUUGGGAUAACAUUGCGAAAGCGAUGCUAAUACCGAAUAAGACCACGGUAUCACAUGAUACAGUGGGAAAAGGUGGCCUCUGUAUAUGCUAUCACUUGGAGAUAAGCUCGCGGACCAUUAGCUUGUUGGUAGGGUAACGGCCUACCAAGGCUAAGAUGGUUAGCUGGUCUGAGAGGAUGAUCAGCCACACUGGAACUGAGACACGGUCCAGACUCCUACGGGAGGCAGCAGUGGGGAAUAUUGCGCAAUGGGGGAAACCCUGACGCAGUGACGCCGUGUGAGUGAUGAAGGUUUUCGGAUCGUAAAGCUCUGUCAGAUGGGAAGAAUAAAGGCAGUGAAAAUAUUUCUGCCUGAUGACGUACCAUCAGAGAAGCACCGCUAACU